rnacentral:rRNA from 1 species
GACAGAGGGUGCAAACGUUGCUCGGAAUUACUGGGCGUAAAGGGCUCGUAGGCGGCCAACUAAGUCGGACGUGAAAUCCCCAGGCUCAACCUGGGAACUGCGUCCGAUACUGGAUGGCUUGAAUCCGGGAGAGGGAUGCAGAAUUCCAGGUGUAGCGGUGAAAUGCGUAGAUAUCUGGAGGAAUACCGGUGGCGAAGGCGGCAUCCUGGACCGGCAUUGACGCUGAGGAGCGAAAGCCAGGGGAGCAAACGGG